rnacentral:rRNA from 1 species
AGAUAUCUCCUCGUACCUUUUGCAUCAUGAUUUAGCCAGUGUUGUCCAAGCAAAGGGUCCUAUAGUUUGACAACCCGAAACUAAGUGAGCUACUUCAAGACAGCCUAAUUAUUUAGGGCAAACCCGUCUCUGUGGCAAAAGAGUGGGAAGAGCUUCGAGUAGUGGUGACAGACCUACCGAACUUAGUUAUAGCUGGUUGCUCGGGAACUGAAUAGAAGUUCAGCCUCACGGCUUCUCCCUUCUUAUCUUGAAGAAAUGUACAGAUAAUUGAGAAACCAUGAGAGUUAGUCGAAGGGGGUACAGCCCCUUUGAAAAAAGAUACAACUUUUACAGGAGGAUAAAGAUCAUAAUAAACAAAGGCAAAAUGUUCCAGUGGGCCUAAAAGCAGCCAUCCACACAGAAAGCGUUAAAGCUCGGGCAUUAAACCCCACCCUUAAGUUCCGAUCAUUAAAUCUUAUUCCCCUAAACUUACCGAGCUGUCCCAUGCAAACAUGGGAGUAACUAUGCUAAAAUGAGUAAUAAGAGAGUAUAUGGCUCUCUCCCUGCAUACG